CCCUAGCCCUGAUUGUAGUGAAAAUCCUUUUUUGAGGCACGAAAAAAAGAUUGAAACGUAAAGCAGGAAAAAGC
rnacentral:sRNA from 26 species